UACGUAGGGUGCGAGCGUUGUCCGGAAUUAUUGGGCGUAAAGAGCGCGCAGGUGGUUGAUUAAGUCUGAUGUGAAAGCCCACGGCUUAACCGUGGAGGGUCAUUGGAAACUGGUCAACUUGAGUGCAGAAGAGGGAAGUGGGAUUCCAUGUGUAGCGGUGAAAUGCGUAGAGAUAUGGAGGAACACCAGUGGCGAAGGCGGCUUCCUGGUCUGUAACUGACACUGAGGCGCGAAAGCGUGGGGAGCAAACAGGAUUAGAUA
rnacentral:rRNA from 1 species